UACGUAGGUGGCAAGCGUUGUCCGGAUUUAUUGGGCGUAAAGCGCGCGCAGGCGGUUUCUUAAGUCUGAUGUGAAAGCCCACGGCUCAACCGUGGAGGGUCAUUGGAAACUGGAGGACUUGAGUGCAGAAGAGGAAAGUGGAAUUCCAAGUGUAGCGGUGAAAUGCGUAGAGAUUUGGAGGAACACCAGUGGCGAGGGCGACUGUCUGGUCUGUAACUGACACUGAGGUGCGAAAGCAUGGGGAGCAAACAGG
rnacentral:rRNA from 1 species